rnacentral:rRNA from 1 species
AACGAACGCUGGCGGCAUGCCUAACACAUGCAAGUCGAACGAGACCUUCGGGUCUAGUGGCGCACGGGUGCGUAACGCGUGGGAACCUGCCCUUAGGUUCGGAAUAACUCCCCGAAAGGGGUGCUAAUACCGGAUAAUGUCUUCGGACCAAAGAUUUAUCGCCUUUGGAUGGGCCCGCGUUGGAUUAGCUAGUUGGUAGGGUAAAAGCCUACCAAGGCGACGAUCCAUAGCUGGUCUGAGAGGAUGAUCAGCCACACUGGGACUGAGACACGGCCCAGACUCGUACGGGAGGCAGCAGUGGGGAAUAUUGGACAAGGGGCGAAAGCCUGAUCCAGCAAUGCCGCGUGAGUGAUGAAGGCCUUAGGGUUGUAAAGCUCUCUUACCCGGGAUGAUAAUGACAGUACCGGGAGAAUAAGCACCGGCUAACUCCGUG